rnacentral:rRNA from 1 species
GGAUUAGAUACCCUGGUAGUCCACGCCGUAAACUAUGAUUACUCGUUGUGUGCAAUACAUCGUACGUGACUGAGCGAAAGCAUUAAGUAAUCCACCUGGGGAGUACGUUCGCAAGAAUGAAACUCAAAGGAAUUGACGGGGGCCCGCACAAGCGGAGGAACAUGUGGUUUAAUUCGAUGAUACGCGAGGAACCUUACCUGGGCUUAAAUGCAGAACGACGGAUGUCGAAAGAUGUCUUCCCUUCGGGGCGAUUUGCAAGGUGCUGCAUGGUUGUCGUCAGCUCGUGUUG